GUGGAUUAGAUACCCCGGUAGUCCACGCCCUAAACGAUGAAUACUCGAUGUUGGCGAUAUACGGUCAGCGUCUAAGCGAAAGCGUUAAGUAUUCCACCUGGGGAGUACGCCCGCAAGGGUGAAACUCAAAGGAAUUGACGGGGGCCCGCACAAGCGGAGGAGCAUGUGGUUUAAUUCGAUGAUACGCGAGGAACCUUACCCGGGCUUGAAAGUUAGUGAAUGUGGCAGAGACGCCACAGCUCUUCGGAGCACGAAACUAGGUGCUGCACGGUUGUCGUCAGCU
rnacentral:rRNA from 1 species